GUAACGUUGUCCUUCCGCUCAGUUCUUAUAUGCACAAGAUGACAAGGAAAAUGAUCGAAAAGUGAAAAAAAGUUGCAGAAUGUGAAGUUGGAAAAAUUGGGUUGAAGUUCAAAAUGACAUCUCUCUCUCUCGAGGCAGAACACCUUCAGGGUAAAUAUGUAUUGAACACUUCCCACGGCUUCAGCCCUGCGCUAAGGCUGCCAUAUUAGGAGAGGACUUGGGAGGAAUGAUGCUCACAAGCUCUGCUCCAAAAUGAUACACUACUCUUCCUCCUUGAGGUAUAUGGAACUGGGAAAACCUCGAUAUGUUAGAGGCUGGGAAGACCAAUAUCUGGCCAAAUGAAAAGGCAAGUUUAUUAGGAUGGUGAUGAUCCAAUAAAAGGAAUUACUUCAGCAGGACCCGGAAGAGGACGCACACUUUCAUAUGGACAAAUUAGAGAGAGAGAAGAGAGAGAGGCCCAUGGAUGUAGCAUACACUGAAAAUUCUGUGUACGUAUCUUCUAUUUGCUGAUUGGGCCAGCUCUCCAACCUCUCUCAGCAACACACAACCUUGCACAACCUCAGAAAUCACCGUUCACCCCAGCAGCAGAUCCUUGGUAGAUUUCAUGGAAUCUUGCCUUACACAAGCCUGGUUAACCCCCAGCAGAGAUCCCAGCUGAAUCCUCACACAGAGUUUUGGUGCCCACCCUCUGUGCAGCUUCCUCUUCUCUGAAUACCACUGGCUUGCAAAUUCCAGAUGCUUCAGGCAGCCACAAAUUCCAAUCUCAGACCCCAAAACUCAGCAUGACUGUAAAUCUGCUUGGGCUCCCCACCCUGUGCCAUGGCAAGAAGCAG